GGAGAGGUGGCUCAGUGGUUAAGAGCACUGGCUUCUUCCAGAAGUCCUGAGUUCAAUUCCCAGCAACCACA
rnacentral:tRNA from 1 species